rnacentral:rRNA from 1 species
UACGGAGGGUGCAAGCGUUGCUCGGAAUUACUGGGCGUAAAGCGUACGCAGGCUGUUCACUAAGUCGGGUGUGAAAUCCCGGGGCUCAACCCCGGAAUUGCGCCCGAAACUGGUGAGCUUGAGUGCGGGAGAGGGAAGCGGAAUUCCUGGUGUAGAGGUGAAAUUCGUAGAUAUCAGGAGGAACACCGGUGGCGAAAGCGGCUUCCUGGCCCGACACUGACGCUCAUGUACGAAAGCGUGGGGAGCAAACAGG